AUGAAGGGGCUCGCCGACGAGCUCGCUGCUGCAGGAAAACCGCUUGAUGAAGACGACAUCGUUUCGCACAUCGUGGAGGGUCUCAUGCAUGAGCCCGACUACAGCGGCUUGGUCACCGCCAUCUCCACGCGUGCCAUCACCGAUCAACCGAUCGGCCUCAGCGAGCUCUUUUCACUACUGCUCGCCGCUGAGUCUCGGAUCACCGCCCAGCACGCCGCCUACACCGCCCAUCACUCCGUCAACCUCGCCGCCAAGGGUGGUCGAGGUGGCUACGGCGGCGGACGCGGCGAUCAGGGUGGUGGACGCGACGGCUACAACGGGGGAAACUACAACGACAACUCGGGCGGUGGUGCGCCGCGCCAGCAAGGUGGUGACCGCGAGCGCUGCCAAAUCUGCAAGGAGGAUGUGUUGGAAAUAUGCCCUAGAGGCAAUAAUAAAAUGAUUAUUAUAUUUCCUUGUUCAUGA
rnacentral:rRNA from 1 species